rnacentral:rRNA from 1 species
AUAACAGUUGGAAACGACUGCUAAUACCGCAUAAGCGCACAGGAUUGCAUGAUCCGGUGUGAAAAACUCCGGUGGUAUGAGAUGGACCCGCGUCUGAUUAGCCAGUUGGCAGGGUAACGGCCUACCAAAGCGACGAUCAGUAGCCGACCUGAGAGGGUGACCGGCCACAUUGGGACUGAGACACGGCCCAAACUCCUACGGGAGGCAGCAGUGGGGAAUAUUGCACAAUGGGGGAAACCCUGAUGCAGCGACGCCGCGUGAGCGAAGAAGUAUUUCGGUAUGUAAAGCUCUAUCAGCAGGGAAGAAGAAUGACGGUACCUGACUAAGAAGCACCGGCUAAAUACGUGCCAGCAGCCGCGGUAAUACGUAUGGUGCAAGCGUUAUCCGGAUUUACUGGGUGUAAAGGGAGCGCAGGCGGUGCGGCAAGUCUGAUGUGAAAGCCCGGGGCUCAACCCCGGUACUGCAUUGGAAACUGUCGUACUAGAGUGUCGGAGGGGUAAGUGGAAUUCCUAGUGUAGCGGUGAAAUGCGUAGAUAUUAGGAGGAACACCAGUGGCGAAGGCGGCUUACUGGACGAUAACUGACGCUGAGGCUCGAAAGCGUGGGGAGCAAACAGGAUUAGAUACCCUGGUAGUCCACGCCGUAAAC